GGUGUCUGACCUCUGAGCGCAGCCGAGGGAGAGCAGGAGGACUAGAAGGGUGAGAUAGGUGUUGGCCGACUGUCCCAUACUGCAAAGGCAAGAAGACAGCUUUAGAUCAUUAUCUGUCUUUAUCAGAUAGAACAGCUGAAGAGAAAUGUCGGGAGGAGAGAGAAGGGGAUGACAGGCAGCGAAGGACUGAGGUUAAAGGGAAAGACAAAGCUGCAUCGCUUCCUGCCCGUCUUCUGUGUUACACUCUGGUGAAAUGGGUCAUUGUCGGCGUGGCGUUUGACCUUGGAGCUGUUGGGUAGAAGAAAACAAUGAGAGAAGGAACAUCAGUAUAAAAGGAAGAGGAGCAGCCUGAGCUCAGCAGCUGUCCUGAAACAGCAUCACUUUGCCAUCAUGUUGUUGC